CAAUAUUGUCACUUUAUACAAACUGAAAGUAUGCGUUGUUGCGUGUUUGUUUUUGUGGGCAUUUGACUGAAAAGCCCAGACAAAUAUUGCUACCAACAUGGCACUUCGAAACAGACCACCGCAGUGUUAGAUGACUGACAAGAUCUAUGGGGGGGCCCCCUUUGGGCCCCCCCAUACCAACUUAGUCUUCAAAGGAAUCUAGUGCCAUGGGACUCCAGUGUCUUCAAAACAUCCUCGGAAUACAUGUGUAUGAAUGGUCCACCGAAGGGUUGAUCUGGAAGCCACCACGUUCCACGCAGUAAUCUGCUGCGUGGGCCGUAGUGGCUUCCAGAGCCAUCUUUCGGUCUUGGUCAGGAUUUGUUACAGUUGCCCUUCAAUGUAGCAGGCUACGGGUUUCUGAAGAAGCCUGCUUUACGUAGCAUUGGAGUACAAAUAUUGUGCAAAAUGCUCAUGUAAUUGCACUAGCACUAGUAACCUGUAGAUUAGCUUAGUUUAACGUCAUUCCGUGCUGUCUCUGUCAAAUGUGUGGCUUACUUUAAGUCCACAAGGCCCUCUGGUAAACCACGUUGGAACACCCCUGGACAAGGUGAUUAGUCACUGGGUGUGUGCUAAAGUUUUGUUCCAUUUUUCACUAGUUGGUUAAGGUUUGGUAGAAUUGUUUGGAUGCUAGCGACGUGAUGGCGUAUGUACAAGAGCCUACCGUGGCCAGGCCACAGUUGUCACGGCCAGAUGGCCUAGUGUGAGUGCAACCUUGAUUGCAUUUGUAUACUGUUUACCAUUGGAUGUUUAUGCAAUUUGGCUUAAUUCAUCCGCAGUAAAGCUGCAUUUGACUAUUCCAGGGUCGUUUUGUACAGGCUUUCAAUUGACCAUGUUGACUAGUUUGUGGGAAUUAUUAUUUAUUUUUUUACCCUUGCUUACAAUCCAACGGUUGUGACCACUUAUGCAACUGGGCUGUGAACCUUGCAAUUCUAGUUGCAUAUUUGUACAAGCAAGCUUGUCCAUUUCUAUCGCCAUCACUAACACUAGCUUCAGCAUUUCCUUGUAGGCCAUUAGCUGACUUGUGUAUUGGAGCGAUGAUUUGGGUAUUUUAAGAUGCUUGAAAACCUAAAAUAAAGCAAAAUGCGUGUCUGGUGUGCAAGAGCCAAUUUGUUGGCUUGCAGUAGUCGAGGAGUUUCCGUAGGUCGUAAGCCAUCUGGAGGUUGUGGCAAUGGAGGCUUGUGGUAGAUCUGCCAUCGAAGAAAGGUUAAUUCUUCUGAAGCAUGAUUAAUAGUUUAGUAAAUUUAAUCUAUUCAUAUAGAACUAUAAAAUCCAAGACUGCAGCCAGUAACUUGGAUCGCAAUAUGUGGAAAGUAUUAGUCUUCAUUUGUAACAACAGAAUAAUUAACAUGACUAACUGGGUUUCUUCCAUUUUCUAACUAGGGGGACUUGACUGGUGAGUCUACUGGAUUAAUCAGUAGCGGUACUUUGCCCAACAGAUUUGAUGGCAUGACUACAGGGUGACAAAGACAAUUAUUCCCUGCC